rnacentral:rRNA from 1 species
CGGAGGUGGCAAGCGUUACUCGGAAUCAUUGGGUGUAAAGGGCAAGUAGGUGGCCUGUUAAGUGAGGGGUGAAAUCCUGCGACUCAAUCGCAGAACUGCCUUUCAAACUGGCAGGCUUGAGGGUGGAAGAGGAAAAUGGAAUUCUCGGUGUAAGGGUGAAAUCUGUAGAUAUCGAGAAGAACACCAGCGGCGAAGGCGAUUUUCUGGUCCAUUCCUGACACUAAAUUGCGAAAGCUAGGGGAGCAAACAGAAUUAGAUACUCUGGUAGUCCUAGCCGUAAACGUUGAGCACUAGGUGUUGGCCCCGUAAGGGGGUCAGUGCCGCAGCUAACGCAUUAAGUGCUCCACCUGGGGACUACGGUCGCAAGGCUA